rnacentral:rRNA from 1 species
UACGAAGGGGGCUAGCGUUGUUCGGAAUUACUGGGCGUAAAGGGCCCGUAGGCGGCCAACUAAGUCAGACGUGAAAUCCCUCGGCUUAACCGGGGAACUGCGUCUGAUACUGGAUGGCUUGAGUUUGGGAGAGGGAUGCGGAAUUCCAGGUGUAGCGGUGAAAUGCGUAGAUAUCGGGAGGAACACCAGUGGCGAAGGCGACUUCCUGGCCUGUUCUUGACGCUGAGGCGCGAAAGCUAGGGUAGCAAACGGG